rnacentral:rRNA from 1 species
UACGUAGGUGGCGAGCGUUGUCCGGAUUUACUGGGCGUAAAGCGCGCGCAGGCGGCAGUCUAAGUCCUCUGUGAAAUCACCCGGCUCAACUGGGUGGCUGCGGAGGAGACUGGGCAGCUUGAGGGGCCUAGAGGCCGGUGGAAUUCCCGGUGUAGUGGUGAAAUGCGUAGAGAUCGGGAAGAACACCAGUGGCGAAGGCGGCCGGCUGGGGGGCGCCCUGACGCUGAGGCGCGAGAGCGUGGGGAGCGAACAGG